rnacentral:rRNA from 1 species
AUUGAACGCUGGCGGCAGGCCUAACACAUGCAAGUCGAGCGGAUGAAGGGAGCUUGCUCCUGGAUUCAGCGGCGGGCGGGUGAGUAAUGCCUAGGAAUCUGCCUGGUAGUGGGGGAUAACGUCCGGAAACGGGCGCUAAUACCGCAUACGUCCUGAGGGAGAAAGUGGGGGAUCUUCGGACCUCACGCUAUCAGAUGAGCCUAGGUCGGAUUAGCUAGUUGGUGGGGUAAAGGCCUACCAAGGCGACGAUCCGUAACUGGUCUGAGAGGAUGAUCAGUCACACUGGAACUGAGACACGGUCCAGACUCCUACGGGAGGCAGCAGUGGGGAAUAUUGGACAAUGGGCGAAAGCCUGAUCCAGCCAUGCCGCGUGUGUGAAGAAGGUCUUCGGAUUGUAAAGCACUUUAAGUUGGGAUGAAGGGCAGUAAGUUAAUACCUUGCUGUUUUGACGUUACCAACAGAAUAAGCACCGGCUAACUUCGUG